UACGUAUGGUGCGAGCGUUGUCCGGAUUUACUGGGCGUGAAGGGGGCGCAGGCGGCGCGCCAAGCCCGAUGUGAAAGCCCGGGGCUCAACCCCGGGACUGCAUUGGGAACUGGCGUGCUGGAGUGCCGGAGGGGCAGGCGGAAUUCCUGGUGUAGCGGUGAAAUGCGUAGAUAUCAGGAGGAACACCGGUGGCGAAGGCGGCCUGCUGGACGGAUACUGACGCUGAGGCCUGAAAGCGUGGGGAGCAAACAGG
rnacentral:rRNA from 1 species